GCAAUGCUGAGCAGAGUGUUUAUAAAGAGGGUGGAGGUUAAGUUGUUACCCUAGAGAUGCAGAACCUUUCUCUCUCUUGCUUUUGUCUGUGUGCAUACUGUGUCUGUCUAAGUCACAACAUUAACCAGGGAUAGUUCUGAGCUGAGGUCAUGUUAUUGUCUGUCGAGCAUUUCUUCUCAGAAGUGACCUCUCUUUCAGCUUUAAUUCUCUGCAAUUCUGUUUCAUUGUUUCAAGACCACAGGAUACAAACCAGGGAGUAUUCUGGAACAUUAAACUAACAGGUGUCUUGUAUGGCUGUUGGGGCAUCUUUAUUGGCUAGGCCUCCUAGUAACUGCCAGGGGAGGGUCCCAGCACCUCUGCAUUGUGUUUCAGGACCUCCUGGACCCAGCCCGGUGGCGAAUGCUGAUCCAGCAGUUUCGAUAUGACAACUACCGGCUGCACCAGCUGGGAAACAGCUCCGUCUUCACCCUCACCCUGCAGGCUGGGCUCUCAGCAAUAAAGACACCGUAUCCUCCUUGCUCUACCUUAUCCUCUAGGGUAAAGGUUGAGAGGGCCUGGGACCCAGCAGCUUGGUCUUUCUUUGGUCUGUGUGUCCUCUGU
rnacentral:lncRNA from 1 species